rnacentral:rRNA from 1 species
UACGUAGGGUGCAAGCGUUGUCCGGAAUCAUUGGGCGUAAAGCGCGUGUAGGCGGCCCGGUAAGUCCGCUGUGAAAGUCCAGGGCUCAACCCUGGGAUGCCGGUGGAUACUGUCGAGCUCGAGUCCGGAAGAGGCGAGUGGAAUUCCUGGUGUAGCGGUGAAAUGCGCAGAUAUCAGGAGGAACACCAAUGGCGAAGGCAGCUCGCUGGGACGUGACUGACGCUGAGACGCGAAAGCGUGGGGAGCAAACAGG